ACAGCACUCUGGAUACAGCGCUCCUUCCUGUCACGUUUCUCACUUCUCAUAUAGAUGGUCACGCUGCUAACCAAAGAUGCAACAUUACCAACAUGCUCGUUCAGCCACCCUUGAAAAUUCCCAGAGCAUUUGUUGAAUGUACCAAAUGCAUUGCUAGAUGGACAAGUCGGCAUUCGUGUUCACCUUCCAUGAUUUUUCUUGGAAAUCAGAUAAAAUUUAUGUAACAUCCAGAAGAGAUUAUGAAAGCAGUAUUCAUACUUUGUUGUACCUUCAGUAGUAUCGGUGCAAAUUGUUGGUUUGAAGUGUUUCAGUGUUUGCUUUCAUGUGUUAGUUUGCACAAUUACGGGAGGAGCGCAUUGCAUGAGGCUUGUAGUUGCUGCCAUAGACAUGAGCAAGAGUUCGAGGUAGCUAUUUUGAAUCUCAAAUACACAGCACCUUAAAUGUGUUGAGGCUCAAGAGUAUUAGGUGGGAGACAAAAGAAAGGAAGUUGCUGCAGAAAAGGCAUUUCAUCACAACUCAGCGUUAAUCUUCAGAAUAAACCUUAUCUCUUCCUUAAGACUCCUGCAUGUUGACAAUCUCACUUGUGUGCAUUAGGAAAGAUGCUGGGUGUUGCGUAAAUAACGGAGCCAGCUAUAAAGGGCACUUUUGGCUGUGCCACUGGCUUGCUUAAGCUGGAAUUUCAUUGAGAGGUGGCAUUUUGUGUUGUAUUUUUUGUGUGAAGUAUUUGUCUCUCUCAGACAGAGUAAAAUACACCUACGGUGGGAUAAUGUAACGGUUCCUGUCACUUGGUUAUUGAUGCGAAAGCAUCAAAUGACUCAUUAAGCAAAACAGCCGGCUUUUGUAGCAGCGAAACGGAGCCUAAGUUCCCAAUGGCUGCGACGCCACGUCACAAGCGUGCCUUGACGGAGCAGAGCGGGUGAACCAGAACACCAGGUGUUGCGUGAGGGGAGAGGGCAUUACCUCAGUGCCAUGUCACCAGCGCAGCUCGAAGGAUGACGAUGUGGGGCAAGACGGGUUGUCGCCUGAUGCAUGCGUGUGGGUGCUGCCGUCUUGCUCUCGGAAGCCAGUGCGCAGUCCCUAUCUCUCUCUCCCACCCCCGCUGGGCUUGGCUGCUGCAUGCGCCUGUCUGCUUCGGUGGCCGCCGCUGCUUCCUCGGUCUCUCGUCGCACAGGACAUUCGUGACAUGCGUCAUUGGCAUUGCAGGCUGCUGCUGCUUGCUGGCUCGGGCAGCACAGAACUCGAAAAACCGCUCAGCGGCAUUCAAUUGGACAUUAAUGCGCUCGCAAUCAUAACUCGUAAGAAGUGCUUAGGUGUGCUCGGAUUUUUUCUUUGAUCACCUGCCGAUCAUGACUGCACAAUCCUAUUGUAAAAGAAGGCCAUGUGUGCUUGGACCACUCUCGAACUGCAACACAGAAAAAGCUUGGAUAUUAUUGUUGCAUUAUCCUAGCCUGUAUACUUGGCGAUCCUAUUUACGUAACAUUUUGUAUGUCAUUUGCGAUGAUGUGGAGGCAAACAAACUUAACACUUUAGCAAAUGCAAUACACUCUUUAAAAAAUGUUACACCCUUUGCAGGUUCCAGAAGCGCAGAUGUUUGUCCCCAAACAAUAAUCGUCUGUCUUGCUUGAGUUCCCUUGAAAAUUCUGUGCUCACUACUUCCCUGUGAAGAAUUCUAUGUAAUGCUAAUAACACUCAUACCAUUCGUGACCGUUUAGCGUAAAAAAAUGCAUGCAAGAUAGAUUACGAUUAUUGUUUGGGGACAAGAUAACCCUCAGAGGGUCCAAGGUUUUCUUAGAGUGUAGUGACAGGCAGUCUGUCAUUGUUAGGGCAUCGGGGUGCCACCCACUGUUGUGUUAAAAGCUGUGCAUUUCUUGUGUGGUGCCACUGCAGAUGACGCAUGCUUAUGAUUAUCAAAGUGAGCAAGUACCGCAUGCAAGUGGGGUAUUAAUCAAAAUACCUCGACGAACCCUGCCUUUGAGUGGAAUUUGAUGGUGACAGAGUCAGCAGCUUGGCUGCAGAAGCCAGUUAUAGACAAGCUCUAGAGCACGACAUGAAUAUUCAGCAAUGAUGCCCUCACAUUCUAUCUAGACAAAAAAAAAUAAUUUCAACAAUUUCAACUGCCCUAAAUUGCUUCAAUUAAGCUGCAGGAAAUUUAACGGCCAACUGAAACAGCAUUCCAUUUUGGCUAUAAGGGUAUAAGUAUAUACUAUCAAGACAUCUUAGCAAAGCUGCAUUGCUGUUAACUGUUUAAUUUUCCUAUUAACAGCCUUUAAAUAGCACCUAAACUGAUGCAUCAGGUGUGUGGUGGUUAGCAAAUUGCAGAACAUGGCCUCUGAGAUUUUUAGUACACUGUAGUUGCUACCUGAUCUCUGAGGUCAUGUCCAGGCGGCACGCUGGUUCUCAAUGUUCAAUGUUUUGCGCAAAGUCAGUUCUGGCGAACAGUAAUGGCAGUGUUUUUUUUGUCAAUAUCACAAACUUUUUGCGACAUUUAGUAAAGCUGUGAACCCGGCUAGUUGGUGCAUGUUCCUGAUUGUAUUUCUUUCGUACAAUUCUUUCAGUGUUAUAACUCGGCCUAGCACAAUCAUGUUUUUACAACAUAAUUUCAAACAUAAAGCAUAUUUCAAACAAAUUUUGGUAGAGGCUGCUCUAUCACGCUGCAAAUGAAAUGCUUAUGUUGUCCAAAAGUUGUUUGGGAAAGAUUGUUGUUAUAAGCAGCAACCAGCAAAAAAAAAAGCAGAAGUGUCACUGUAGCCAUCUUCUAUUCUUGCCUGUAUUGUUGUUUGUUUACAAACUUGCAGUUUGUCUAUACUUGUCGUCGCGCAUAAUUUGAAGAGUGCAGUUUGUGCCCAAGCCUUGAAUGCAACCCAUUAAAAGAGCAGACACAGUAAAGCCGCACUGAGAUAUGGUCCAAUAACUGCCACAUUUGUGAUAUUAAAACAUUCCAGUAGACUCUGAAUGUUGCACUUCCUCGGCUUUCGAAUGUUGCAUCAAUAAAGUAUUCUUUUAUUUCAAGAC